CCUACGGGUGGCUGCAGUGGGGAAUAUUGGGCAAUGGGGGCAACCCUGAUCCAGCCAUGCCGCGUGUGUGAAGAAGGCCCUCGGGUUGUAAAGCACUUUCAGUGAGGAAGAACGCCUGGUGGUUAAUACCCAUCAGGAAAGACAUCACUCACAGAAGAAGCACCGGCUAACUCCGUGCCAGCAGCCGCGGUAAUACGGAGGGUGCGAGCGUUAAUCGGAAUUACUGGGCGUAAAGCGCGCGUAGGUGGCUUGAUAAGCCGGUUGUGAAAGCCCCGGGCUCAACCUGGGAACGGCAUCCGGAACUGUCAAGCUAGAGUGCAGGAGAGGAAGGUAGAAUUCCCGGUGUAGCGGUGAAAUGCGUAGAGAUCGGGAGGAAUACCAGUGGCGAAGGCGGCCUUCUGGACUGACACUGACACUGAGGUGCGAAAGCGUGGGUAGCAAACAGGAUUAGAUACCCUGGUAGUC
rnacentral:rRNA from 1 species